UAAGACUGUUUGACAAAGGAAUAUGAAUGAAUUCCAUUCUGAUGCUCAAGCUGGGAUCCAAAGGCCCUAACCUAGUUAACAUGGCAAAAGGGCUGAGAGCUGUUUGAGAGCAGGAACACUUGUCUCUUCUCUGCUUCUCCUCCAGUUUCUAGCAGUGAUUCUGGGUGUGAUGGAAUGAGAAGUAACAGGAUUUAGGAAAACAUAUUUUUAAUAUUCCCUGCAAGGCCAUGACGAAGACCUUCAUUGAAAUGAUAUUUCCUGCUUCUUGUGGCUCUGGAGCACAGAAGAUGAGAUUCUAGACCGGACGCAAGACUGGAGGAAUUCUCUUAAAAAAUAAUGAUGGGGGCCCCUGGGUGGCUCAGUGGGUUA